GGACUCACCGCGGGCCACGCCCCCCGGCUCGAGCCGGCGCGCGACGGAGGGGUGGAGCCUUCUCGUCACCUUUCACCCCAGCAUGGCUGCGCCCGUGGGACCGGUGAAGUUCUGGCGACCAGGUACAGAGGGACCAGGUGUCAGCAUCUCUGAAGAGAGACAAAGUUUAGCUGAAAACUCUGCAACAACCGUUGUUUACAAUCCUUAUGCUGCCCUUUCCAUAGAGCAGCAGAGGCAGAAGCUGCCAGUGUUCAAGCUUAGAAAUCAUAUAUUAUACUUGAUAGAAAACUAUCAAACAGUGGUGAUUGUUGGAGAAACAGGAUGUGGGAAAAGCACGCAGAUCCCACAAUACCUUGCAGAAGCUGGCUGGACUGCUGAAGGAAGAGUUGUAGGAGUGACCCAGCCUCGAAGAGUGGCUGCUGUUACGGUUGCAGGGAGAGUAGCUGAUGAGAGGGGUGCAGUGCUGGGCCAUGAGGUGGGCUAUUGCAUCCGCUUUGAUGACUGCACUGACCCGCUGGCUACAAGAAUUAAGUUUCUGACGGAUGGAAUGUUGGUCAGGGAAAUGAUGGUUGAUCCUUUGUUAACAAAAUAUAGUGCCAUCAUGCUAGAUGAAGCCCAUGAGAGGACCUUGUACACAGACAUUGCCAUUGGCUUGCUGAAAAAGAUUCAGAAAAAGCGAGGGGAUCUUCGAUUGAUUGUGGCUUCAGCCACUCUGGAUGCAGAGAAAUUUCGGGAUUUCUUUAAUCAAAAUGAAACCAGCGACCCAACCAGGGAUACAUGUGUGAUCCUUACAGUGGAAGGGCGGACAUUUCCUGUGGAUAUCUUUUAUCUACAAAGUCCUGUUCCAGAUUACAUCAAAGCAACUGUAGAAACCGUGAUGAAAAUUCACCAGACAGAGGGAGAUGGAGACAUAUUAGCAUUUCUUACUGGCCAGGAAGAGGUAGAAACUGUCGUGUCUCUGCUGAUCGAGCAGGCUCGAGCACUAGGUCGGACUGGGAUGAAGAGACACCUCCGGAUCCUCCCCAUGUAUGCAGGACUGCCUUCCUUUGAGCAAAUGAAAGUGUUUGAAAGGGUGUCCCGCAGUGUCCGAAAGGUGAUAGUGGCCACCAAUGUGGCAGAAACCUCCAUUACAAUCAGUGGGGUUGUGUAUGUGAUCGACUGUGGUUUCAUGAAACUCCGAGCCUACAAUCCCAGGACAGCUAUUGAGUGCUUGGUGGUGGUCCCAGUGUCCCAGGCAUCAGCCAACCAGCGAGCAGGACGUGGUGGCCGUAGCCGCUCCGGAAAAUGUUACCGUCUUUAUACAGAGGAAGCCUUUGACAAGCUGCCUCAGUCCACCGUUCCUGAGAUGCAGCGGAGCAACUUGGCACCUGUCAUCCUGCAGCUGAAAGCACUGGGAAUUGACAAUGUCCUCAGGUUCCACUUCAUGUCGCCCCCUCCAGCACAGUCGAUGGUUCAAGCGUUGGAGCUACUCUAUGCCCUGGGAGGUCUGGACAAAGACUGUCGACUAACUGAACCACUUGGCAUGAGAAUAGCAGAGUUUCCUUUGAAUCCCAUGUUUGCAAAAAUGCUGCUUGAAUCAGGAAAUUUCGGCUGUUCUCAGGAAAUUCUCAGCAUUGCAGCCAUGAUGCAGAUCCAGAAUAUCUUUGUGGUCCCCCCUAACCAGAAGUCUCAGGCAAUUCGAGUGCACCGAAAAUUUGCUGUGGAGGAAGGUGAUCAUCUCACUAUGCUCAACGUGUACGAGGCAUUUAUCAAACACAACAAGAACUCUCAGUGGUGUCAGGAACAUUUCCUGAAUUACAAGGGUCUUGUCAGAGCUGCGACAGUAAGAGAACAGUUGAAAAAGCUUCUUGUCAAGUUUCAAGUGCCCAAGAAAUCGAGUGAAGGUGAUCCAGAUCCGGUUCUGAGGUGCAUCGUUUCGGGAUUCUUUGCCAAUGCCGCAAGAUUUCAUUCUACUGGAGCUUAUAGGACCAUCCGUGACGAUCAUGAACUACACAUCCACCCUGCGUCAGUCCUCUAUGCAGAGAAGCCCCCUCGCUGGGUUAUCUACAAUGAAGUUAUACAAACCUCCAAGUAUUAUAUGAGAGAUGUCACUGCAAUUGAAUCUGCUUGGCUGUUGGAGCUAGCUCCACACUUUUAUCAACAAGGAACGAUGCCUGCUUUUCAACUCAGCAGCUCUACUCUGAUCAUUGUGUGAUCAGUUAUUUUUAGAGAGGCCGGGACCUUUAGAAAUCGCCUGGUUCACCAACCUUACUGUACAGGCGAGGCCCUGAAAUUCCCCGAGAACCGCAGCCCCUCCUGACUAGACAGUCCAAAGCACCUGUCCCUAAAAGCCAAAAGGGCCAAGGUCCAAGACCAGUGAGCAGAGCUGGGCUGCUUGGGGCCCGCUCCUCCAUGCUGCUUCUCCCAGCUCGGGGCGCAGUGAGCUGUCCUUGGCUCAUGUGGACCUUCAGCUGCCCUGAUGGGGGCCGUUGCCCAUUCUUCCCGCUCCCCUCAGCAUUGCAUUCCUCGCUGGGAUCCCGGAGGAGUUGUGCGUGGGCAGGCACCCUGCCGUGCUGCACCCAGGCAGAGAGGGGGUUGGCAGGUCUUUGCUCUUUGGUCACUCGGCACCCUCACUGACCCAGCCUGCCACUUCCCACAGGCACGCCGUCCUGGCCCAGCCUAAUGGGGACGGAGGAGGAAAGUGAGCCACUGCCGGCUGAGGCACCAUGUCGAGUGCACAGAGGGUUUGCUGGGCUGGCUUUGUUCUCUCCUGGGGGGCACAGCUGUGUCGACUAGUGAGGGCCAGAUGGGAAUCUGUGCAUCUCCGGAGGGAGAGACCCUGGAAACGCUGUGAUUUCCACCAAAAUCACUGAGGGCUCCCGGACCAAGCAGCUUCUGGUUCCCCCUUUUGCGCACGUCCCUGUUUAUCUACGGCCAGAAAACUCACAAGGAUUGGUGAUGACGGAGAGGACUCAAGCACCGUUCUUUGUUACAGAAGUAAGAUACCACGCCCCCUGCCACCAGCAGAGCACUCGUGAACACCCAUCAGCUCAGCCCCACCGGGGACCCUCUGCGGCAGGAGCUCCCAGCAGCGUCGAGACUCUCAGCUUCUCUAGCUCAGGAACAGAACUUACGCAUUUGUUUUGGUUCGUUUGCCGGGUUCUUGCGAGAACGCGGGCGGCUCUUCCAGCAGGCACUGGUCUCAUUGCUGCCCAGGCUUCUUUGCUGAGAGGUUGGCAUUUCAACACGUGACCUGUCCAGAUUUGGUCACCAUCCUGUUUCAAUGACAUUUAUUUUAAGAACAUGUAGUUUGAAAGUUUAUUUUUAUACUGAUCUUAGUAUGUACCUGCCACUUUGGCACCAAACGUGUAUGCCAUUUUUAUUUCCAUUUUGUAAACGUGUUAAUAAUAGUGAUAACCUGUUAAUAAUAGCAAACCUUUAUACCUAAAGUAAAUGUAUUCCCUCCCA